rnacentral:rRNA from 1 species
AUUGAACGCUGGCGGCAGGCCUAACACAUGCCAGUCGAGCGGAUGAAGGGAGCUUGCUCCUGGAUUCAGCGGCGGACGGGUGAGUAAUGCCUAGGAAUCUGCCUGGUAGUGGGGGAUAACGUCCGGAAACGGGCGCUAAUACCGCAUACGUCCUGAGGGAGAAAGCGGGGGAUCUUCGGACCUCACGCUAUCAGAUGAGCCUAGGUCGGAUUAGCUAGUUGGUGGGGUAAAGGCCUACCAAGGCGACGAUCCGUAACUGGUCUGAGAGGAUGAUCAGUCACACUGGAACUGAGACACGGUCCAGACUCCUACGGGAGGCAGCAGUGGGGAAUAUUGGACAAUGGGCGAAAGCCUGAUCCAGCCAUGCCGCGUGUGUGAAGAAGGUCUUCGGAUUGUAAAGCACUUUAAGUUGGGAGGAAGGGCAGUAAGUUAAUACCUUGCUGUUUUGACGUUACCAACAGAAUAAGCACCGGCUAACUUCGUG